AUUGAACGCUGGCGGCAGGCCUAACACAUGCAAGUCGAACGGUAACAGGAAACAGCUUGCUGUUUCGCUGACGAGUGGCGGACGGGUGAGUAAUGUCUGGGAAACUGCCUGAUGGAGGGGGAUAACUACUGGAAACGGUAGCUAAUACCGCAUAACGUCGCAAGACCAAAGAGGGGGACCUUCGGGCCUCUUGCCAUCGGAUGUGCCCAGAUGGGAUUAGCUAGUAGGUGGGGUAACGGCUCACCUAGGCGACGAUCCCUAGCUGGUCUGAGAGGAUGACCAGCCACACGGGAACUGAGACACGGUCCAGACUCCUACGGGAGGCAGCAGUGGGGAAUAUUGCACAAUGGGCGCAAGCCUGAUGCAGCCAUGCCGCGUGUAUGAAGAAGGCCUUCGGGUUGUAAAGUACUUUCAGCGGGGAGGAAGGGAGUAAAGUUAAUACCUUUACUCAUUGACGUUACCCGCAGAAGAAGCACCGGCUAACUCCGUG
rnacentral:rRNA from 1 species